rnacentral:rRNA from 1 species
UACGUAGGUGGCAAGCGUUAUCCGGAAUUAUUGGGCGUAAAGCGCGCGCAGGUGUUUACUUAGUCUGAUGUGAAAGCCCACGGCUCAACCGUGGAGGGUCAUUGGAAACUGGGAGACUUGAGUGCAGAAGAGGAAAGUGGAAUUCCAUGUGUAGCGGUGAAAUGCGUAGAGAUAUGGAGGAACACCAGUGGCGAAGGCGACUUUCUGGUCUGUAACUGACACUGAGGCGCGAAAGCGUGGGGAGCAAACAGG